rnacentral:rRNA from 1 species
GGGAUUGCCUCAGUAACGGCGAGUGAAGCGGCAACAGCUCAAAUUUGAAAUCUGGUCCUUGCGGCCCGAGUUGUAAUUUGCAGAGGAUGCUUUUGGCGCGGUGCCUUCCAAGUUCCCUGGAACGGGACGCCUUAGAGGGUGAGAGCCCCGUACGGUUGGACACCAAGCCUUUGUAAAGCUCCUUCGACGAGUCGAGUAGUUUGGGAAUGCUGCUCUAAAUGGGAGGUAUAUUUCUUCUAAAGCUAAAUACCGGCCAGAGACCGAUAGCGCACAAGUAGAGUGAUCGAAAGAUGAAAAGCACUUUGAAAAGAGGGUUAAACAGCACGUGAAAUUGUUAAAAGGGAAGCGCUUGUGACCAGACUUGCGCCCGGUGAAUCACCCAGCUCUCGCGGCUGGGGCACUUUGCCGGCUCAGGCCAGCAUCAGCUUGCCGUCGGGGACAAAAGCUUCGGGAACGUAGCUCUCUUCGGGGAGUGUUAUAGCCCGUUGCACAAUACCCUUCGGCGGGCUGAGGUACGCGCUCCGCAAGGAUGCUGGCAUAAUGGUCAUCAGCGACCCGUCUUGAAACACGGACCAAGGAGUCAACCUUAUGUGCGAGUGUUCGGGUGUCAAACCCCUACGCGUAAUGAAAGUGAACGCAGGUGAGAGCUUCGGCGCAUCAUCGACCGAUCCUGAUGUUCUCGGAUGGAUUUGAGUAAGAGCAUAUAGGGUUGGACCCGAAAGAAGGUGAACUAUGCGUGUAUAGGGUGAAGCCAGAGGAAACUCUGGUGGAGGCUCGCAGCGGUUCUGACGUGCAAAUCGAUCGUCAAAUAUGCGCAUGGGGGCGAAAGACUAAU